GCGUUUCCGAUGUUGUCUAGUGGUUAGGAUUUGCGGUUCUCACCCGCAAAGCCCGAGAUCGAUUCCCGGCCGAUGCA